rnacentral:lncRNA from 1 species
GAAAAACAAGUCUUGUGACAUAUUUUCCUAGGAAAACAAGUUACAAACAUAAAUUACUAGCUAUGGACUGAUUUUCCUAGAAACAUUUGUCCUGGGACAUUAAUUCCUAGUAAAAUCAUGGACAUGGACUUAAUUACAUGUAACUAGGAAAAAAAGUCUGGAGAACAAAUUUUACAACCGGACCAAAUUUACUGUUACACUAUUCCAACUAAUUUAAUAUGACGUCUGGCAAGGCGUCCCAUAAAAAAAAUAAAAAUAGCCUUGCCAGACGUCAUAAUUAUUUGGACUACUGUUACACUAGGACCACAGGCACUAGACGUUCCCCCUUUUAUUAAUUUCUUGAUUAGCUACUGUCACGGUGUAUUUGUAUAUACAGAAGAAUUCUAGAGUUUUGUAUCACUUUGACAGUCAAAUCCUGACACAGUUGUAGGAAGGCGUCCCAGAAAAAAAUUAAAAUAGCCUUGCCAGACGUCAUAAUUAUUUGGACUACUGAGUGACACAGCAGACCAACCAGAGACAUAUAUACAUGUAUAUAUGUCUCUGGCCCAACUGAGACCAGAUACCAUUUUUAUUCAUGAGUUAUGAUCAGUAUCAGAUAUAAAUGAG